CCAAUUAGGAUUAUAAUUCUUAUUGAAGAAGACUUUUAUUAUGUCUAUAUAAAUGGGCUAUUGCACUAGUUUUGAAUUGGAGCAAAACAAUAAAUUGUAUACUACUUAAUGAGUAAAGAGUUAGAGAAUAUUGUAAGGAAAAAGAGUGUGCGAGAGAAAAGAAAAGAGAUAAAAAGUGUAUUUCUUGUUCUUGUUCAUUUAGUUUUUUCGUUAAGUCUUUAUCCUAGAGGCUUGAUAAGAUUAUUCGUCUUACUCAUUGAUAUAUUGAUAUAUUGUUGUUGCUGUUGCCUUGUGGAUGUAGGCACAUAUAGUCGAACCACGUUAAUUCUUGAUGUUAUUUAUCUUGGUUGUUUUAUUUUCAACUUCUGAGUUUGUUCUGUUUUUUGCAUUUUAAAUGCGAUAUUCACAACACAUGCACUUCAAGUUGGGUUGGAUAGGAGUAUGAAGAAUUUGGGAAGAUCUUGGAAAAUUGGUCUAAGGAAUCUCCCAGACAUAGAAGGUACUCAUAGGAGGAGAUUUAAAUGGACAUGAGGACAAUGAGACAAUCAACUACAAGGGUUUCCAUGGUGGCCAUGGUUUUGGGGAGAGUAAUGAGGUGGGGAAGUCAUUUUUUGUAAUGACAAAUGAUCUAUUUCUAGCCAAUACUUCUUUAAAAAAAGAGGAGCACGUGAUCACCUAUAAGAACAGGUCAUCAAAUACACAAAUAGAUUUCUUUUUAAUGAGGAAGGGGGAUUGUGAGAUAGAAGAAAGAACAAGAUCUUGAAGUGUCCAACAACUAGAUGGUGGAAUCUAAAAGGAGAAAAACAAGUCACUUUCAAAGAGAAAGUACUUGCCCAAGGUGUUCAGAAUACAGAGGGGAAUGCUAGCCAAUGUGGAAUUCCAUGGCUAGCUGUAUUCGAGGUAUUAGGAGAGUCCAAGGUUUUGCUCCACAUUAAAAGGAAUCUUGGUGGUGGAAAGAUGAGGUACAAGAAAAAGUUAAGGUUAAGAAGGUUUGUUGUAAAACCUUAUACAAGGAUAUAACUGAUGAAAACUGUGAGAGGUAUAUAGUAGUGAAGAAGGCAAAGAAAGCCAUGAGAGAAGCGAAACUAAUGGCUUUUGACAAUAUGGAUAAGUGUUUGGGUACCAACGAAGGAGAGUUGAAUAUCUAUAAAUUGACGAAAGCAAGGAAAAGGAGGACAAAGAGACUUGAACUAAGAUGCAUCAAGGAUGAAAAAGGAAAUAUUUUAGCUACGGAGAGAGCGGUUAAAGACAGAUGGAGAGAUUCUUCUCAAUGAAGAACACAAAAGGAGUACUUCUUUAGGCGAGUUGCGUAACUCGGAAGAGUGUAGAAAUUACUCAUGCCGCCGAAUUAGGAACGAGUAAGUGGUUGUAGCUUUAAAAAAGAUGAAACAUAGAAAAGCAGUAGGUCUCGACUGAUCAAAGUGUGGAAGGUCUGGGGAGACACGGGUAUAGCAUGGUUCACAAACCUUUUCAAUAAGAUUUUGAAAACGAAGAUGCUAAAUGAGUGGCGAAAAAGCUUUGUUACCUAUCUACGAAAAUAGGUGACAUACAAAAUUGCAUGAAUUAUAGGAGUAUUAAGUUAAUGAGUCAUAUAAUAUAGCUUUGGAAGAGAGUUAUUAAGUAUAGACUGAGGCAACAGACAUGGGCCUUAGACAACCAAUUUGGGUACAUGCCAGGGUGCUCAACUAUGGAGGCAAUCUAUCUCUUACGGAGAUCGUUAGGAUUUGGUUCAUUUUUUGUUAAAGUCCUAUUUUAUUUAGGAUUGUAUUAAGAAAGCUAAAGGUGCACAUAUUUUUGUCCUAGUCCUAAGUUCAAGAAAGAGAAACAAGUGAUGGAGAAGGUGCCCUAGCCCUAAAGCCCGCCUAUUGUAUGCAAUCGUAUGCACACGGCUGACGGCCUAGCAUAGCUCAAUCAAUCAACGUCGCUUCCAAGUACAUGACAAAUCCAGGAAAGCAACUUGGGAUGCAGUCAAGUGGAUUAUGUUACUUGAAAGGUUCCUGGCGACAAGGGAUUAUGUUUGAGAAGUAAAAAGAAAAUGCAGGGGUGUUAGGAUAUGUUGAUGUUGACUAUGCAUAGGUGUUGGAAUAUGUUGAUGUUGACUAUGCAGGGGACUUUGACAAGAGAAGGUCAACUUCUGAUUAUGUCAUUACAUGCGACCAAUCAGUUGGAGGGCACUACUACAACUAGUUACAACUUUGUCGACCACAAAAGCAAAGUACAUAGCUCUGGCCAAAACGAAGCAAUUUGGUGUAGUGGCUUGGUAAGUCAAAUGUGAAUCACUUAGGAUUAUGUGAAGCUGAAAUGUGACAGUCAAUGUGUCAUUCACUUGACAAAGAAUAGCUUUUCCAUGGAAGAUCAAAGCACUUUGGACUAAGGUAUCACAAAAUCCGGGAUUGGGUGGAGUCCAAGGAGAUUUGGGUUGAAAAGGUUCACAAGGAUGACAGUCAUGCAGAUUACCUAGCAUUGCUUGAAAUUGAUCAAUCUCAUUGAUUGAUUAACGUUCAACCUCCUCACUUGAGGUGCAAUGAGGCAAGAAGAAGUUUCCCCUCCUCACUUGAGGUGCAAUGAGGCGAGAAGAAGUUUGCCAAGGUAAAGAUACUGUAAGUUUUAUGGAGCUGCUUCAAGAAGGUUUGAAGAUACUUUGGGUUGCAACUGUCAUGACUUGGGUUGCAACUGUCAUGACUUGGUUUGACUCACCAAGGUGGAGAUUGUUAGGAUUUGGUUUGUCUUUUGUUAAAGUCUUAUUUUGUUUAGGCUUGUAUUAGGAAAGCUAAAGGUGCAUAGAUUAUUGUCCUACAAGGAUUAUGAAAGAAUGUACAAUUAGACUAGGGACAUUUGAAACGAAGACCUACAGAUGCUCCGGUUAGAAAAUGUGAUUAUGAGACAUAGGAAAGAGGGUAGAGAAAGACCUAGGGAGUUGGACUGAGACUUUAAGAAAGACAUGGAGUAUUCGGAGCGAAUGGAAGAUUAGGGCAAAACCGAGCACAGUGGCAUUCUAGGGCUGUUCUGGUUCCAAUCAUCCAACAGAAAUUUGUGUUUCAGGCUAUAUUAGAUGAUGGAAACUUUAUGCCUCAUGUGAAUUCAAUGCUGUGCAUGCCACUUUAUUAUUUUUUUAAUAGUUAUUUUUGGGCGAUUAAAUUUGCUAUGCUUUUCGGUGUAUAACUUCCAUAUUUGGUCCUGCUUUCGGUUUGCAGGCAAAUGAAGCUUUGGACAGCCUUGAAGUUCCUGUUGGGUAAGUUUUCUGUUAAUUGCAUAAACUGUGUUUGCCACACUUUUACGAGUCUUUAUACUCCUGAGCUUUAUACUCACCCGUUUUGGCCAUUUGAUCACAUAACUGCUGGAAAUAGGUUAAUAUACCUUGUUAUAUAUGUGUAGCUUGAAAAUUAUUCUCUUCUGAAUUUUGAAAGUAGCCCUGUUGCUCAUUUAGGGCAAGACUGUAGGGGUAACACAACUUUUCACUUUAUUAAGCUUCCCAAGCCGAAUUAAAAAAUUUAAAGUAUCAUAUACCCAUCUUAUCUUUUUAUUCUUCUGAUCACCUUCUUGAAGUUUGAUGUGACAUGAGCUCAAUUGCUUCUUGUGUUAAAAAUCAAGGGUUUACUUUAUAUUAAUGCACUUUUCUAAUCUAUAAAUUUGAUUGAAUAGCUGUGUGAUUGUUGAAGAUGGGAAGGUCAUAGCCUCGGGAAGAAAUCGAACUAAUGAGACACGAAAUGUAAGUUUACCAUUGGUUCUGAUGUUGAAGAAAUAAUUGUUCCUGUUUAUCUGGAUAUUUGUUUCUGAGCCUUCUUUUCAUUUGGCGAAAAUCCCAAUACCUUGUCAUGUCUCUGGUUUAUCCAUAAAAAUAAUUUUAACAUCUCAAUUUCUUAUUCUCUUAAGUUUUGUUUGGGGGAGGGACUUCAAAAUUCCAAGGCAUAUAGGCAAAAUAAAGAAGAAAUGAAUCACAAAAAGUUAGAUAGGAGGAACUAGAAAAUGCACCACAUGUGCAUAACAAAGGCACAUAAGAGGAAUUUGUAAAAUGACUCCUUUAAAGUAGUCAUUUGCAAAUCCCUCUCGCAUGCCUUUUCCUUUUGUAAUGCUCAUGUGGUGCUUUGUAAUCCUCCCAUUAA
rnacentral:lncRNA from 1 species